rnacentral:lncRNA from 1 species
GAACGUAGUGGCUCUGAGUGGAGGAGAUGAAAAUGCAAAUAAUCACAACAUCCAACUGGAGAGUGAUUUCAGCAGAGGCACAGAAGCUGUUAAAGUCACCAGACCUGCUCCCAGCAGAGUCAUGAACAGGAACCAGAGGGAUGACCCAGGAGCCACGCACCAGACCAAGAAAAUAAACACCAACAGGUCAGAUGUGUGUUUUCAACCAUUUCAGUUUAGUUUUCUAAAUACUUGUUAGAACUGGAUUUAUUUUCCCACAUUGUCAUUUGUAUUUAUUUUCCAGCUGAUGAUACAUUACAGAGGAAAUGAAAAGAGUUGAUGUGUUUGUGUUUGGCUUUGAUAACUAAUGAUCGCUGACUCCCUCUCCCUGAUCAGAGUGGACGGUGGACCAGCUGCCAGUGAUCAAAACGCUGAAGAUCAGCAGGACUCUACAAAACAACCACUGCUCUCAGAUCAGCGAGCUGCUGGCGAGGGCUUUGGCGUGGCGGGCGAAGCUGAUGUUUUGGUGGACAAGCCUGGCUUCGACCCGGACCAAGUCAAAGGGCACUCGAGCACGCGAGUAUGUAGUAACAUGUUUAUAACCUUUGAUGCGCUGUUAAAAUGUUUUCUUUGGGACCAAAUUUGA